rnacentral:rRNA from 1 species
UACGUAGGGGGCAAGCGUUGUCCGGAAUUAUUGGGCGUAAAGGGCGUCUAGGCGGUCAGGUAAGUGGAAUGUGAAAUCCCUCGGCUCACCCGAGGACCUGCAUCCCAAACUGCCUGGCUUGAGUAUGGGAGAGGAUGAGGGAAUUCCUGGUGUAGCGGUGAAAUGCGUAGAGAUGUGGAGGAACACCGAUGGCGAAGGCAGCCUUCUGGGCCAACACUGACGCUCAUGCACGAAAGCGUGGGGAGCAAACAGG